rnacentral:lncRNA from 1 species
CUUGAUGGAGGGAAAGCAUAGCAUGUGCUCCUCUCUUGGAGCCAAUGAGCGCUAGAACUGGGAACCCUUUCUCUGCGUUCUGGUGGCACUUUGUUCUGUUUGUUCUUCACUGUCGGGAAACAAGAAGAGUGCCCCCUGGACCUAACACCCCCCACUCCGGAUCUUCCCACCCGGGUCUCAGGACAACAUUGAACACUGGUUAUUUUACCAAGGCUUUGACGGGAAUGUCAUAUUUGAAAAGACUCAGAUAUGACCAGACAGCUUAAAGGAACUAAGGUUGACUUUACAAAACCUGGAGCCGUAAAGCCCUUUGGAACUGUUGGCCUGAUACCUUGCUUACAGAGUUCCCAGCAGCCUCA